GUGCUCUUUGCUCCAGCAGUUGCAGUCACAGGGGAGGUGGCCGUUGUCCGAGGAGUGGCAGUGGUGCUCCUGGCAGCAGCACGAGGAGCAGAUGAUGGAGGCUUUGAGAGUGAGGUCCUCUUAUCCGGGCUCUUUGCAUCCGUGACCUUUGGCUUAAUCUCUUUUGGAGUGAGGGUGGAGGGCCGCGUGGCGCUGCUGGCCGGGCGCUUGGGAGUGGUGGUGGCAGGAGGGCCCGCCGUGGGGCUGGUGGGCUUUUUGUGAGUGCCAGGAGUGGCAGAGGCCGGCCGCUUGGGGCUGGUGGCGGCCGCGGGCCUGGCUUUCGUUGCUGUGGGCUUUGCUGAUGGUGUGGAUGCUGCAGGCUUUGUCUUCUUCUCGGGGCUCGGGGGCAGCUCCUUGUUGGGGGGUGCUGUGAUGUCAUUCCCUGUCACGGCGUCGGCUGCUUUGGGCUCCUCUGGUUUUGCUGCAGGCUCUUGCAGGGGUGCUCCUUGCAGGGGCUCUGUGUGCUGGAUGUGGUUCUGCUCAGUCUCCUCCUUCCGUUGCUCCACUGCAGGGACAUCCACAGCCGCAACGCGCUGCUCUGAGAGGAGCUCUUUGUUUUCUAGCACUGUGUCUUCUUUUGUUUCUACUGGAACUGCGGGUUCUGGGAGGUGGUUGGUUGGUGCUGGAAGGUGCUCAGCGUGGUGGCUGGCAGAUGGUUUCUCUAACGAAACAGCAACGUAACCCUCGGGGGCUUUUGGUUCUUGUUCCAUGCUUGCAGCUGUUUCUGCAGGAGCUUCAUGGGAGGGGGUCUUGUCAUGCUGAGCAGAGGGCUCGGAUGUCACCAGCUCUUCCA
rnacentral:lncRNA from 1 species